AUAGUAUUCUUUAGCCUCGAACUAUUUUAGCCAGUUUCUCGAUUGUACUGCGGAAUUGCUUCAUGUCACAAAACUUUAAAAAUUCGUAGAAGCAAACUUGAAUAGCGAACAUAUGAAUAAAGCCUGGAAUUCAAGUGAUCUUAAAAACUCGAGUUCUACUGAUUGAGACAAUCAUGCGUCCUAUUUAAAAUGCUGACAUGAAUUUAUUUACAAUGUGCAGCCAUUUUGGCAGUUUCUAUGACAACGAGAGGCUGCGGUGCUGCUGUACCGCGACUAUCUGCGCGCACAAAUCAAUGGAAUCCUUAUAGGGUUGUCAAAAAAUAUUUUAAUAAAUAUGUACGAUUUUUUAAAGAUUAAACGUGUUAACAAAUA